rnacentral:rRNA from 1 species
UACAGAGGGUGCGAGCGUUGUCCGGAAUCACUGGGCGUAAAGGGCGCGUAGGUGGCGCUCCAAGUCUGUGGUGAAAGCUCGAUGCUUAACAUCGAGUCGGCCACGGAGACUGGAGGGCUCGAGCACUGUAGGGGCAGAUGGAAUUCCGGGUGUAGCGGUGGAAUGCGUAGAGAUCCGGAAGAACACCGGUGGCGAAGGCGGUCCGCUGGGCAGUAGCUGACACUGAGGCGCGACAGCGUGGGGAGCAAACAGG